AAAAUAUUAUUUAAAACAAAAUUCUGAUUGAAGAACCUUCAGUUGUUUUACAGACUGAUGUUAGUGCCCUAGGUUGGGGUGCUACUGAUACCAUCUCUAGCUGUGGAGGCAGAUGGAAUACGCAUGAGGCAUGUAUUCUCCAAUCACAUGGAAUUAAUUAUUUAGAGCUAUUGCGAGCAUUUUAUGGGCUUGAGGCUUAUUGUACCACCAAGCAUCACUUACAUGUUCAGCUUCAGAUUGACAACACCACGGCAGUGGCGUAUGUUAAUCACAUGGGUGGAAUCAAGUCGGAAUCUUGUGAUAGAUUGGCUAACCUUAUUUGGCACUGGUGCAUUCAAAGAAACAUUUGGGUUUCAGCUGUCUACUUGCCAGGCAGAUUCAGCAUGGUGGCAGACACCAGGUCAUGUAAAUUCAAUGACAACACAGAAUGGAUUUUGAAUCAUGAUGUAUUUAAUGAUAUUGUUGUUCGGUAAGAGAUGCCAGAUAUCGAUUUGUUUGCAUCCAGACUCAA